UUGUUGCCCCUCCGCCCUCUGGUCUGGGUUUGAGGAGAAGGGGAGGGUUAUUGGGUGGAGGAGGUGGAUGGAUCAGCGCCUCUGUCUCCCCCCUCCUCCGUGCACUCUUUGACCGGCUCUGGAAUGCGCGCAUUGUCAUAGCCCAAGGGGGUAGCGAUGAGGCAGUCAGGAAUGUGUUUAAUUCCGAGGCCAAACAAUGUGAGCGAGAGAGUCCGGGCGGGGAGGAAGAGCGAUAGCGAGAUAGGGGCAACUUUCAGAAGCCGCUUGAGGACCCAGACUUUGCGGGAGCACACGAGCCCUGGAGUCUGCGAAUCGCUGCUACUGCCGCCGGCCCGGGAGCGGAUGUCACUGGGCAUUGAUCCCUUCGGAUUUCGCCCCCUUCCUAGCUCAACACAGCCCACGAGUAAGCCUCGACUUGCGUCCGGCAGCCUGUUUGCUCACGGGAUGGGUGGGAAGGGGCAGAUGCUCAUCCCGGCUGUCCCAACACUGACCGGACCCCGCCCCGCAUUCAGAAUGAGGUUCAAUUUUUAAAGAUUCUGGAUGCCUGGAAGGUUAGUGCCCACAAAGGAGCUGGAUGAAUUUAUAACUUUCUGCUGCCCUCUCAUCUUAUGCAGUGGUCCCUUCAUACCAUUCAGUGAUGCACUCCACAGUGCGUUUGGAGUGAGUGUCCUCAAACUCCUAAUGAAAUAUAGCUGCUGCACCUUCUUUGUGAUUGCAUCAAUACAUUGGCCCCGGGAUGGAUCUUCAGAGAUGUUGACACCCAGGAACUUGAAACUGCUCACCCUUCCCGCUGCAGAUCCCUCGAUGAGGACAGGUUCAGCCAGGAAGGCCUCAUACCAUCACGUGAAGUCAGCUUCAGCGCACUGGCCGGUAGAGAUGUACAAUGUGAUCCAACAUUGGUUCAUGAAGGUUCUGCAACACUCCAUGGAGAAAUCAUGGUCAUCCACUGCAACCAAGAAGUCUCUAGCUGUGACAGCUAUUCAUACCAUCAGACCUGGACAUCCAAGGUUGAGAGAGUACAACUGCCCCAAUGUAUUGGCUUUUCCACUUUACAAACUUUCCUGCACAGAUUUUCUGUCAACAGUGGAUACCAGGGACAACCAACACUGCCAUUUGUGAUACAGUUUUUUAUGCCACUGUACUGCUGCCACAAAACAACAGAUAUCACAAUAACUAUCAGUGACAGUAAACCCUAUUCUGAUCACAGAUUGGAGAGGUUUGGUGAUGUGUAAGUGACAGUAAACCCUAUUCUAAUUCACAGAUCAUUGAGGUUUGGACGCUAUUUGUCAGUGACAGUAAACCCUAUUCUGAUCACAGAUCAUUGAGGUUUGGACAUUUGUCAAUGACAGUAAACCUUAUUUUGAUCACAGAUCAGAGAGGUUUGGACAUUUGUCAAUGACAGUAAACCCUAUUCUGAUCACAGAUCGUUCAGGUUUGGACGAUACGUGUCAAUGACAGUAAACCCUAUUCUGAUCACAGAUCGGAGAGGUUUGGACAUUUGUCAAUGACAGUAAACCCUAUUCUGAUCACAGAUUGAAGAGGUUUGGACGAUACGCGUCAAUGACAGUAAACCCUAUUCUGAUCACAGUUCAGAAAGGUUUGGACGAUACGCGUCAAUGACAGUAAACCCUAUUCUGAUCACAGAUCGUUCAGGUUUGGACGAUACAUGUCAAUGACAGUAAACCCUAUUCUGAUCACAGAUUGGAGAGGUUUGGACAUUUGUCAAUGACAGUAAACUCUAUUCUGAUCACAGAUUGGAGAGGUUUGGACAUUUGUCAAUGACAGUAAACUCUAUUCUGAUCACAGAUCGUUCAGGUUUGGAUGAUACGUGUCAAUAAAAGUAAACCCUAUUCUGAUCACAGAUUGGAGAGGCUUGGACAUUUGUCAAUGACAGUAAACCCUACUCUGAUCACAGAUCGAAGAGGUUUGUACGAUACGUGUCAAUGACAGUAAACCCUAUUCUGAUCACAGUUCAGAAAGGUUUGGACGAUACGUGUCAAUGACAGUAAACUCUAAUCUGAUCACAGGUCAUUGAGGUUUGGACAUUUGUCAAUGACAGUAAACCCUAUUCUGAUCACAGAUCGUUCAGGUUUGGACGAUACGUGUCAAUGACAGUAAACCCUAUUCGGAUCACAGAUCGAAGAGGUUUGGACGAUACGUGUCAAUGACAGUACACCCUAUUCUGAUCACAGAUCGGAGAGGUUUGGACAUUUGUCAAUGACAGUAAACCCUAUUCUGAUCACAGAUCGUUCAGGUUUGGACGAUACGUGUCAAUGACAGUAAACCCUAUUCUGAUCACAGAUCGGAGAGGUUUGGACAUUUGUCAAUGACAGUAAACCCUAUUCUGAUCACAGAUCGGAGAGGUUUGGACAUUUGGCAAUGACAGUAUACCCUAUUCUGAUCACAGAUCGGAGAGGUUUGGACAUUUGGCAAUGACAGUAUACCCUAUUCUGAUCACAGAUCGGAGAGGUUUGGACGAUACGUGUCAAUGACAGUAAACCCUAUUCUGAUUACAGAUCAUUGAGGUUUGGACAUUUGUCAGUGACAGUAAACCCUAUUCUGAUCACAGAUCGGAGAGGUUUGGACGAUACGUGUCAAUGACAGUAAACCCUAUUCUGAUCACAGUUCAGAGAGGUUUGGACAUUUGUCAAUGACAGUAAACCCUAUUCUGAUCACAGAUCGUUCAGGUUUGGACAUUUGUCAAUGACAGUAAACCCUAUUCUGAUCACAGAUUGGAGAGGUUUGGACAUUUGGUAAUGACAGUAAACCCUAUUCUGAUCACAGAUCGGAGAGGUUUGGACAUUUGGUAAUGACAGUAAACCCUAUUCUGAUCACAGAUUGGAGAGGUUUGGACGAUACGUGUCAAUGACAGUAAACUCUAUUCUGAUCACAGAUUGGAGAGGUUUGGAUAUUUGGCAAUGACAGUAAACCCUAUUCUGAUCACAGAUCGGAGAGGUUUGGACGAUACGUGUCAAUGACAGUAAACCCUAUUCUGAUCACAGAUCGGAGAGGUUUGGACAUUUGUCAAUGACAGUAAACCCUAUUCUGAUCACAGAUCGUUCAGGUUUGGACGAUACGUGUCAAUGACAGUAAACCCUAUUCUGAUCACAGAUCAUUGAGGUUUGGACAUUUGUUAAUGACAGUAAACCCUAUUCUGAUCACAGGUCAUUGAGGUUUGGACAUUUGUUAAUGACAGUAAACCCUAUUCUGAUCACAGAUUGGAGAGGUUUGGACGAUACGUGUCAAUGACAGUAAACCCUAUUCUGAUCACAGGUCAUUGAGAUUUGGACAUUUGUCAGUGACAGUAAACCCUAUUCUGAUCACAGAUCGGAGAGGUUUGGACGAUACGUGUCAAUGACAGUAAACCCUAUUCUGAUCACAGAUCGGAGAGGUUUGGACGAUACGUGUCAAUGACAGUAAACCCUAUUCUGAUUACAGAUCAUUGAGGUUUGGUCAUUUGUCAAUGACAGUAAACCUUAUUCUGAUCACAG